rnacentral:lncRNA from 1 species
CGACCGCCCGCUCGCCUCAGGCGCCUUUCAGUUCAGUUUGGUUUGACCAGCACAUCACGUAGUGCUGUGAUUCGAUAAAAGCUGCGCGCUCGUCAUUUCUUUGAAGAAUCAGCCAGCAGAGUUAGACGCCAUCAAAAUGACUUACUGGAGAGUAGCCGGCCUCACUUACCUACAGUUCUCAUCAAUAGCUGCAAGAGCCGUUAGGAACUCUGUGAAGAAAGACGCAAGUCUAAUGGCAUCAGUGGCUUCCUCGGAAUCUACCAUUAAAAUGGCUACAUGGAAGGAUGGAAAACCCAUCAAAAAAGAGACGUGAAGCAUGGAUUGGUGAAGACAACAAUAGUAACGAAUAAAGGUGUAAAAAACAC